CCUACGGGAGGCAGCAGUGGGGAAUAUUGCACAAUGGGGGAAACCCUGAUGCAGCAACGCCGCGUGAGUGAAGAAGGUUUUCGGUAUGUAAAGCUCUAUCAUCAGGGAAGAAGAUGACGGUGCCUGAGUAAUAAACCCCGGCUAACUACGUGCCAGCAGCCGCGGUCAUACGUAGGUGGCAAGCGUUAGUCCGAUUUGAUGGGUGUGAAGGGUGCGUAGACGGUGAGGUAAGUCUGAAGUGAAAGGCCGGGGCUGCACCCAGAGAAUGCUUUGGAAACUGCCUGACUGGAGUGCUGGAGAGGAAAGUGGAAUUCCUAGUGUAGCGGUGAAAUGCGUAGAUAUAAGGAAGAACACCAGUGGCGAAGGCGGCUCGCUGGACAGUAACUGACGUUGAGGCUCGAAAGCGUGGGGAGCAAACAGGAUUAGAUACCCGAGUAGUC
rnacentral:rRNA from 1 species